rnacentral:rRNA from 1 species
UGGUUAUUCAUAACCCUUUGUUGUCCGACUCUGUUGCCUCCGGGGCGACCCUGCCUUCGGGCGGGGGCUCCGGGUGGACACUUCAAACUCUUGCGUAACUUUGCAGUCUGAGUAAACUUAAUUAAUAAAUUAAAACUUUUAACAACGGAUCUCUUGGUUCUGGCAUCGAUGAAGAACGCAGCGAAAUGCGAUAAGUAAUGUGAAUUGCAGAAUUCAGUGAAUCAUCGAAUCUUUGAACGCACAUUGCGCCCCCUGGUAUUCCGGGGGGCAUGCCUGUUCGAGCGUCAUUUCACCACUCAAGCCUCGCUUGGUAUUGGGCAACGCGGUCCGCCGCGUGCCUCAAAUCGUCCGGCUGGGUCUUCUGUCCCCUAAGCGUUGUGGAAACUAUUCGCUAAAGGGUGUUCGGGAGGCUACGCCGUAAAACAACCCCAUUUCUAAGGUUGACCUCGGAUUAGGUAGGGAUACCCGCUGAACUUAAGCAUAUCAAUAAGCGGAGGAA